rnacentral:miRNA from 1 species
UAGAGUGGGCUUAUUGGCAUUCCAGCAUAGAACGUUUAUGGAAGAAAUUGUACCAUUGAUUGGUAUUCCACUAUAGAACUAUUAUGGAAGAAAUUGUAGCAUUGAUAUGGAGACAGUG